UGUCUUCACCCAUGGACAUAGGCCGUUGGCCGAACCACGUAAAUUUUAGUGCUCUUUCCUUUUCUUUUCUCUUCCUGCAUUAAGUAUUUUUUUUGGAUCUAUUUUUUGCCAUUCCGAUUUUAACAGUUGGUGUUCAAAAGUGGGAGUUGAAUGUGUCGGAAUUAAAACGGGACUUCGAGAAGGCGUAUGAUAGAGUGAAUUGGGAUUAUGUAAGAAAGGUCAUGAGGUGGCUCAAGGCCAAUCAAAAAUGGUGCAAAUGGAUUGAACAGUGCAUUUCCAAUGACAAAGCUGUUGUUCUGGUUAACGGGACUGUAACACACUGGACCUUUGCAAAUUGCGAGGUUCGAGUGUUUAAUCAGUGUUCCGAGUUUUUCCAGAUAUUCUGGAGGGUCGUUGACAGUGUUUCGACCUAUGGCUUGCAUUCCGAG
rnacentral:lncRNA from 1 species